UACGAAGGGGGCUAGCGUUGCUCGGAAUUACUGGGCGUAAAGGGCGCGUAGGCGGCGUGUCAAGUCGGGCGUGAAAGCCCCGGGCUCAACCUGGGAACCGCGCUUGAGACUGGCAUGCUCGAGUUCGGGAGAGGAUGGUGGAAUUCCCAGUGUAGAGGUGAAAUUCGUAGAUAUUGGGAAGAACACCGAUGGCGAAGGCAGCCAUCUGGACCGACACUGACGCUGAGGCGCGAAAGCGUGGGGAGCAAACAGG
rnacentral:rRNA from 1 species